ACAAGCGGUGGAGCAUGUGGUUUAAUUCGAUGCAACGCGAAGAACCUUACCUGGGCUUGACAUCCCGGGAAUCCCCUGGAACAGGGAGUGCCCUUCGGGGAACCCGGUGACAGGUGCUGCAUGGCUGUCGUCAGCUCGUGUCGUGAGAUGUUGGGUUAAGUCCCGCAACGAGCGCAACCCUUAUCAUUAGUUGCUACGCAAGGGCACUCUAAUGAGACUGCCGGUGACAAACCGGAGGAAGGUGGGGAUGACGUCAAGUCCUCAUGGCCCUUAUGGGUAGGGCUUCACACGUCAUACAAUGGUCGGUACAGAGGGUUGCCAAGCCGCGAGGUGGAGCCAAUCCCAGAAAGCCGAUCGUAGUCCGGAUUGUUCUCUGCAACUCGAGAGCAUGAAGUCGGAAUCGCUAGUAAUCGCGGAUCAGCAUGUCGCGGUGAAUACGUUCCCGGGUCUU
rnacentral:rRNA from 1 species